GGCGGUGUUGGUUUAAAGGAAAAACGCUCCACGGCAAUUGGAGAGAUGGUCGUUCGAGUCGGCCCGCCGCCU
rnacentral:tRNA from 1 species